UACCACUGGAUCAGAACAUGAGUCAACAUUUUUCUUGUUUCAAAAUGCUAAUGUGUGGCUGACAGGUUCCAUUCCAGUGCAACAGCAUGUCCAGGGACACAUGACUGACUGGCUGAUGGCUUUCAGUUUCAGGUCUUGGAAACAAAU
rnacentral:snoRNA from 1 species